rnacentral:rRNA from 1 species
CCUUCUGAAAGGAAGAUUAAUACAAGAUGGCAUCAUGAGUCCGCAUGUUCACAUGAUUAAAGGUAUUCCGGUAGACGAUGGGGAUGCGUUCCAUUAGAUAGUAGGCGGGGUAACGGCCCACCUAGUCUUCGAUGGAUAGGGGUUCUGAGAGGAAGGUCCCCCACAUUGGAACUGAGACACGGUCCAAACUCCUACGGGAGGCAGCAGUGAGGAAUAUUGGUCAAUGGGCGAGAGCCUGAACCAGCCAAGUAGCGUGAAGGAUGACUGCCCUAUGGGUUGUAAACUUCUUUUAUAAAGGAAUAAAGUCGGGUAUGCAUACCCGUUUGCAUGUACUUUAUGAAUAAGGAUCGGCUAACUCCGUGCCAGCAGCCGCGGUAAUACGGAGGAUCCGAGCGUUAUCCGGAUUUAUUGGGUUUAAAGGGAGCGUAGAUGGAUGUUUAAGUCAGUUGUGAAAGUUUGCGGCUCAACCGUAAAAUUG